CCAGUAUUUUCAGAGACAGAUAAACCUGUUUCUUUGAAUUACACUGAUGCACAGUAUGUGGAUGUAGUCCAUACCAACUUCAAUGACAAUGAACCUGUGGCUGCUUUGGGGUUUUCCAGACCAGUGGGCCAUGUUGAUUUCUACAUAGGCAACGGACAUCAGCAUCCUGGUUGCCCUCAGGCGCUCGCACACGGUGAACAGUACUUGCUUUGCAGCCAUCACCGUGCCUUCCAGCUUUUCACCAGCUCCAUCCAGGCGCCAUGCAAAUUCAUUGCUCUUCCCUGUGAGAGUGUGUCUGACUUUAGGAGGGCUCUCUGCACACGUUGUAACCUGUCAGAGCUUGGUGUCUGCCCACAGCUGGGAUAUGACAUCAGCUGGCUGCCUCCAAGCCGUCCCAUCCGCUUCAAGCAAGUCACAGCCAUCCUGGACAUCUCAG